rnacentral:rRNA from 1 species
GUGCCAGCAGCCGCGGUAACACGUAGGAAUCGAGCGUUAUCCGAAUUUACUGGGCGUAAAGCGCGUGCAGGCGGUUUGGUAAGUUGGAUGUGAAAGCUCCCGGCUCAACUGGGAGAGGCCGUUCAAAACUACCAGACUUGAGGACAGUAGAGGAAGGUGGAAUUCCCGGUGUAGUAGUGAAAUGCGUAGAUAUCGGGAGGAACACCAGUGGCGAAAGCGGCCUUCUGGACUGUUUCUGACGCUAAGACGCGAAAGCUAGGGGAGCGAACGGGAUUAGAAACCCUUGUAGUCC